UCCCAGUCCUCUGGAAACAAUCAUAACGCGGAAAGAUGUUCUCAUUUAUCAUUACUAGAGUGAACUGAAUCCAUUUAAUCUGAAUUGCUACCAAGUUUUGAAUUAUAUAGCCACAGAGGUUUUAGGAAAGAAGGCCAUAAACCCCAUAACUAUUUUAUCAAGAAGGGCAGUUGGGUUUGGUCUUGACUGGCCUGCAACUCUUCAGCAUAGUUCUAAUCUGAUACAUCCAUAACAUCCCAAA
rnacentral:misc_RNA from 1 species